ACUCCUACGGGAGGCAGCAGUGGGGAAUAUUGCGCAAUGGGCGAAAGCCUGACGCAGCAACGCCGCGUGCGGGAUGACGGCCUUCGGGUUGUAAACCGCUUUCAGCAGGGACGAAACUGACGGUACCUGCAGAAGAAGCACCGGCUAACUACGUGCCAGCAGCCGCGGUAAU
rnacentral:rRNA from 1 species